rnacentral:lncRNA from 1 species
CGUACACGAGUGCGUGUUAUAAGGGAAAAAGAAAACUAUUAGGAUAAACUUCAUUUGAAGUAAUGAAAUUAUUAGUAAAUUUAUAUUUUAAUUAUUAAAUUUUAAAAAUUUAUAAAAUAAUUAUUAAAUUAUGUAAAAAAAUUUAUUUAAGUUGUUGAUGUAUAACCUUUUAUAUUCGCAAUAAACUUUUAUUACAUUAAAAAAAAUUCUCAACAAUUAAUUUUUUAAAGAAUAAAUAUUUAGGAAGUUAAUAUAUUAUUGGUUGGGAGGGGUAAUGGUCUAAGACUUCCAUGAAAGUCUCAAAACAUUUAGUCAAGUCUCAAAACAAGCAAAGUUACCAAAGUUUUGUUCUAGAAGAACAAGUUCUCAAGACGUGAUCUUCAAGUUUUGAAACUUAUUCUUAAAUUGUAAGACCCAAUUUUAGCUCGGGCUACUUAAUUCCAGCCCAAUAAAUAAAACCCCAAAAAAAAAUCUAAAGAGAGUCUAAAAUUACAAAAACAACAAAUCCAAUUAUAAGCCCAAAAUAAACCUAACCUUACAGCCCAAACAGCCCAAAACUAAACUAACUUUUCAGCAAAAAAUAGAAUAGCUGCUGCACCCCUCCACCACGCACGUCGGCGCACCUCGCACGUCCGGCCAUCUCGCUUGUGGCACGACCCACGCCCCACGUUCACCAUACCUGCAACUAGUAGAAGCAAAGAAACCGUUGUAAAGUUGGCUAUAAAAAGGUCACGAAUUUUCAUUUGUAAGGGUUUUUUUUUUUGGAAAAAAAGAGAAUACAAGUUGUAAUAUAAAAUACACACAAAAAUCAGUAGAAAGGGACCAAAGAAUAUUUUCAAAGGUGAAUAUUUACUGCAGUUUUUUUUGUGUUGUUUCUUCUUUUUCCUUAUUUUUUCAUUUCCAUUCGGAUCCAUAUACAAAAAUAUAAAAAGAAAGAGGAGGGGAACUUACCGACGUGGCACAAGAGAAACCUUUGAAGUCGAAUUUUGGCUCAAAAUGGUGGUCUGUCGAAGAAGAGGAAAAGAGGAGAAAGUGAAGGAGAAAAGUUUCAAAACUUUAAGUUUUUUUUUUUAAGGAAAAAGUUUAAAUGUUUUCUAAAAAAAUGAUUUUUUAAAGCAGGUUUCAAUUUUAGGUAAUAAAGGGAACAACAUUAGGAGAAGG